UGCAGUCGAGCGCCCCGCAGGGGGAGCGGCAGACGGGUGAGUAACGCGUGGGAAUCUACCCAUCACUACGGAAUAACUCCGGGAAACUGGAGCUAAUACCGUAUACGUCCUUCGGGAGAAAGAUUUAUCGGUGAUGGAUGAGCCCGCGUUGGAUUAGCUAGUUGGUGGGGUAAUGGCCUACCAAGGCGACGGUCCAUAGCUGGUCUGAGAGGAUGAUCAGCCACACUGGGACUGAGACACGGCCCAGACUCCUACGGGAGGCAGCAGUGGGGAAUAUUGGACAAUGGGCGCAAGCCUGAUCCAGCCAUGCCGCGUGAGUGAUGAAGGCCCUAGGGUUGUAAAGCUCUUUUAACGGUGAAGAUAAUGACGGUAACCGUAAAAAAAGCCCCGGCUAACUUCGUGCCAGC
rnacentral:rRNA from 1 species